GGAGACCUCAGGUCAGGCGGGGCUACC
rnacentral:rRNA from 1 species